rnacentral:rRNA from 1 species
ACUCGAGUGGCGAACGGGUGAGUAACACGUGGGUGAUCUGCCCUGCACUUCGGGAUAAGCUUGGGAAACUGGGUCUAAUACCGGAUAGGAGCCAUCUUUAGUGUGGUGGUUGGAAAGUUUUUUCGGUGUAGGAUGAGCUCGCGGCCUAUCAGCUUGUUGGUGGGGUAAUGGCCUACCGAGGCGGCGACGGGUAGCCGGCCUGAGAGGGUGGACGGCCACAUUGGGACUGAGAUACGGCCCAG